rnacentral:rRNA from 1 species
AACGAACGCUGGCGGCAGGCCUAACACAUGCAAGUCGAGCGGACCUUUCGGGGUCAGCGGCGGACGGGUGAGUAACGCGUGGGAAUAUGCCCUUCUCUACGGAAUAGUCCUGGGAAACUGGGGGUAAUACCGUAUACGCCCUUUGGGGGAAAGAUUUAUCGGGGAAGGAUUAGCCCGCGUUGGAUUAGGUAGUUGGUGGGGUAAUGGCCUACCAAGCCGACGAUCCAUAGCUGGUUUGAGAGGAUGAUCAGCCACACUGGGACUGAGACACGGCCCAGACUCCUACGGGAGGCAGCAGUGGGGAAUCUUAGACAAUGGGGGCAACCCUGAUCUAGCCAUGCCGCGUGAGUGAUGAAGGCCUUAGGGUUGAAAAGCUCUUUCAGCUGGGAAGAUAAUGACGGUACCAGCAGAAGAAGCCCCGGCUAACUCCGUG